CGGUCCCAGCUGAACUCCCAUGAGAAUGGAGUAAAAGACAGAACUUGCAAGAGAGUGGAACUCUACCCAAUCACCCGGUACCGGACAACAAAAGCUUAGCAUCAGACUGUUAAGGGUAUUCUAAGCCGUUCUCUUCCCAUCUCAGGAACAGCAGUUCUCUGUUUUGAGAACACAGCCAUAAUGGUGAAUGUUCCCAAGACAAAGAAAACAUACUGUAAGAGCAAGGAGUGCCGAAAGCACACUUUGCAUAAGGUCACACAAUACAAGAAAGGCAAGGAUAGCCUUGCUGCACAAGGUAAAAGGCGUUAUGAUCGCAAGCAGUCAGGGUAUGGAGGGCAGACAAACCUGUUUUCCACAAGAAGGCCAAAACCACUAAGAAGAUUGUUCUGAGGUUGCAAUGUCAAGGUUGUAAGCACGUGUCUCAGCAUCCGAUUAAGGUUUGCCUCCUAGAAUUUGUUUUAUUUUUUAUUUAUUUUUAUUUUUUUAUUUUUUAUUUUUUGCCUUUGCCUUUGCCUUGGUUUUUCAUAUCACCCAUGUGGUUAAUAUAUGUCUAUUGCUUAAUUAUUUCUGCUGAGAUGCAAGCAUUUUGAGAUUGGUGGAGAUAAGAAGGGGAAGGGGACUUCUCUGUUCUAAAUGCUAUUUGUGGAUACGUUUUGGUUGUGUUUCACUGUUAAGACCUUUGAACUAGGCAAAUCAAGAAUUUUUGGUCACUUUAUUUUGUGGGUUUCUUUUGUUGUCAUUUCUAGACAUCUACUAUUGGUUUAUGAUAGUUAUUUACAAUUAAUUGCCAAUUAACUUUUAGGUAGAAUUAGUGAGCUAUUUUAAUUGAGUUAUGAAUGAUUCAAUUUUA